UGCACGCCAUCUCCGUUUCGG
rnacentral:piRNA from 1 species